rnacentral:lncRNA from 1 species
GAAAGAAGGUAAGGGGGAUGAGGCUGCUAGGUCAACAACACUAGAGAGAGAAUAGAAAAAGUGGAGAACUUUUUAACUUAAAAAGUAAAAGGAAAUGUCAGCAACUUAAAAACCUUCUCAGAAUUCGUUUUUUUGGCAUACGAAUUUCAAAUUUUAAUUUGUAUAAAAAUAUUUUGAAACAUAUUCAAAAUUUGGUUUUCCACAAAUCGAAUUCUAAACAUCUUUAAAAAUCGUGCUAUAUAGGUAAAUAUGAUAAACAUUAUGCAAUAUGUGAAAUUAAAAAAAGUAAUUUGUGUUAUCAAUAAAAAAAAUCCCUUGUUGCCUUAUAUAAUGUUCAUAUUCUUUCAUCACAAAACGUUUUCUUUCUGUUUUUUUUUUUCAUUUAGGGUACCUUUAUGUAUUAUCCAAGGUAUUCCACGUUUUAUUGACACUCCUACAUUAAAAAAUGUGAAACAAUUUAUCUUGGUUAAGUGUUGAUGUGAUAAUAUUUUUGACAUAUUAAUGUGUAAGCCUUGUUAGUUUGU